rnacentral:rRNA from 1 species
UUAGGAUUUUCCACUUAGUGGCAGACGGGUGAGUAACACGUGGGUAACCUACCUCAGAGACUGGGAUAACUAUUGGAAACGAUAGCUAAUACCGGAUGAUUCAUAACUACAUAAGUAGAUAUGCUAAAAGGAGCUUUGGCUUCACUUUGAGAUGGGCUUGCGGUGUAUUAGCUAGUUGGUGGGGUAAUGGCCUACCAAGGCAACGAUGCAUAUCCGAGCUGAGAGGCUGAUCGGACACACUGGAACUGAGAUACGGUCCAGACUCC